GUAAGGAGUAACUGGGAGGAGAGAAGCGUCUGCGCGCCGCUGAACCGCAGGAGCUGCUGCCAGUGACACUGAGCCUCCAGUGAAGACACGCCGAUCAGAUGCACACAUCUAAAGCUCUCAGAGGAUGAGGAUGAUGAUGAGGAAGCUCAGGUGAUUCGGUCACAGCUCUUUCAGGACAAGUGUUGAGCACCAUUUAAGAGCACUACAUAGACAACAUGAUCUGCUUCUGAGACUGAUCUGAGAUCUGGACCAUGACGAUCACAAACGCUGCUGUUGAUCAUUAAAGUUUCUCAGACGGCAGCUGAUUGGGACGUAGGGGGAGCGAGAGCAAGGCAAUGAAUGCAGUGAAGAGCAGCGAACAGACUCCAGAUCAUGCAACCAGCAUGAGGAAGCCUGACCUUCAUCCCUCCUCAAACACAGAGCACA